rnacentral:rRNA from 1 species
GACGAGCGCUGGCGGCGUGCUUAACACAUGCAAGUCGAACGAUGAACUUGGAGCUUGCUCUGGGGGAUUAGUGGCGAACGGGUGAGUAACACGUGAGUAACCUGCCCUGGACUCUGGGAUAACUUCGAGAAAUCGGAGCUAAUACCGGAUAGGACCUUGCACCGCAUGGUGUGGGGUGGAAAGUUUUUCGGUUUGGGAUGGACUCGCGGCCUAUCAGCUUGUUGGUGAGGUAAUGGCUCACCAAGGCGUCGACGGGUAGCCGGCCUGAGAGGGUGACCGGCCACACUGGGACUGAGACACGGCCCAGACUCCUACGGGAGGCAGCAGUGGGGAAUAUUGCACAAUGGGCGCAAGCCUGAUGCAGCAACGCCGCGUGCGGGAUGACGGCCUUCGGGUUGUAAACCGCUUUUAGUAGGGAAGAAGCCUUCGGGUGACGGUACCUGCAGAAAAAGGACCGGCUAACUACGUGCCAGCCGCCGCUGUAAGAC